AAAUUGAAGAGUUUGAUCAUGGCUCAGAUUGAACGCUGGCGGCAGGCCUAACACAUGCAAGUCGAACGGUAACAGGAAGCAGCUUGCUGCUUYGCUGACGAGUGGCGGACGGGUGAGUAAUGUCUGGGAAACUGCCUGAUGGAGGGGGAUAACUACUGGAAACGGUAGCUAAUACCGCAUAACGUCGCAAGACCAAAGAGGGGGACCUUCGGGCCUCUUGCCAUCGGAUGUGCCCAGAUGGGAUUAGCUAGUAGGUGGGGUAACG
rnacentral:rRNA from 1 species